UACGUAGGGGGCAAGCGUUGUCCGGAAUCAUUGGGCGUAAAGAGCGCGUAGGCGGCCCUGUAAGUCCGCUGUGAAAGUCAAGGGCUCAACCCUUGAAUGCCGGUGGAUACUGCAGGGCUAGAGUCCGGAAGAGGCGAGUGGAAUUCCUGGUGUAGCGGUGAAAUGCGCAGAUAUCAGGAGGAACACCGAUGGCGAAGGCGACAUCCUGGACCGGUAUUGACGCUGAGGCGCGAAAGCCAGGGGAGCAAACGGG
rnacentral:rRNA from 1 species